GACGUAGGGGGCGAGCGUUAUCCGGAAUUAUUGGGCGUAAAGCACAUGCAGGCGGUUGGCCACGUUCAUACUGACAUUCACCAGCUUCACUGGUGACCGGGUGUGAAAACGGGCUGACUGGAGAGCGAGAGAGGGACACGGAAUUCCAGGUGGAGCAGUGAAAUGCGUAGAGAUCUGGAGGAACACCAAAGGCGAAGGCAGUGUCCUGGCUCGUUUCUGGCGCUCAGAUGUGAAAGCCAGGGGAG
rnacentral:rRNA from 1 species